UUCAGUUCUCUGGGAGAAACUGGCAGAAUAGGCCUUCAGAUAGUUAGACAUUUUCAGGAGAAAAUUUUAUGAAUCUGAUUUCUUGCAUCUUCUCAUACCUAGAAAAGCACUAAAAUCAUUAGCAGAGACAUCUGCUUUGGCUAUUAUAUA